UUAAGCGACUAAGCGUACACGGUGGAUGCCCUGGCAGUCAGAGGCGAUGAAGGACGUGCUAAUCUGCGAUAAGCGUCGGUAAGGUGAUAUGAACCGUUAUAACCGGCGAUUUCCGAAUGGGGAAACCCAGUGUGAUUCGUCACACUAUCAUUAACUGAAUCCAUAGGUUAAUGAGGCGAACCGGGGGAACUGAAACAUCUAAGUACCCGAGGAAAAGAAAUCAACCGAGAUUCCCCAGUAGCGGCGAGCGAACGGGGAGCAGCCCAGAGCCUGAAUCAGUGUGUGUGUUAGUGGAAGCGUCUGGAAAGGCGUGCGAUACAGGGUGACAGCCCCGUACACAAAAAUGCACAUAUUGUGAGCUCGAUGAGUAGGGCGGGACACGUGGUAUCCUGUCUGAAUAUGGGGGGACCAUCCUCCAAGGCUAAAUACUCCUGACUGACCGAUAGUGAACCAGUACCGUGAGGGAAAGGCGAAAAGAACCCCGGCGAGGGGAGUGAAAAAGAACCUGAAACCGUGUACGUACAAGCAGUGGGAGCACGCUUAGGCGUGUGACUGCGUACCUUUUGUAUAAUGGGUCAGCGACUUAUAUUCUGUAGCAAGGUUAACCGAAUAGGGGAGCCGAAGGGAAACCGAGUCUUAACUGGGCGUUAAGUUGCAGGGUAUAGACCCGAAACCCGGUGAUCUAGCCAUGGGCAGGUUGAAGGUUGGGUAACACUAACUGGAGGACCGAACCGACUAAUGUUGAAAAAUUAGCGGAUGACUUGUGGCUGGGGGUGAAAGGCCAAUCAAACCGGGAGAUAGCUGGUUCUCCCCGAAAGCUAUUUAGGUAGCGCCUCGUGAAUUCAUCUCCGGGGGUAGAGCACUGUUUCGGCAAGGGGUCAUCCCGACUUACCAACCCGAUGCAAACUGCGAAUACCGGAGAAUGUUAUCACGGGAGACACACGGCGGGUGCUAACGUCCGUCGUGAAGAGGGAAACAACCCAGACCGCCAGCUAAGGUCCCAAAGUCAUGGUUAAGUGGGAAACGAUGUGGGAAGGCCCAGACAGCCAGGAUGUUGGCUUAGAAGCAGCCAUCAUUUAAAGAAAGCGUAAUAGCUCACUGGUCGAGUCGGCCUGCGCGGAAGAUGUAACGGGGCUAAACCAUGCACCGAAGCUGCGGCAGCGACACUAUGUGUUGUUGGGUAGGGGAGCGUUCUGUAAGCCUGUGAAGGUGUACUGUGAGGUAUGCUGGAGGUAUCAGAAGUGCGAAUGCUGACAUAAGUAACGAUAAAGCGGGUGAAAAGCCCGCUCGCCGGAAGACCAAGGGUUCCUGUCCAACGUUAAUCGGGGCAGGGUGAGUCGACUCCUAAGGCGAGGCCGAAAGGCGUAGUCGAUGGGAAACAGGUUAAUAUUCCUGUACUUGGUGUUACUGCGAAGGGGGGACGGAGAAGGCUAUGUUGGCCGGGCGACGGUUGUCCCGGUUUAAGCGUGUAGGCUGGUUUUCCAGGCAAAUCCGGAAAACUAAGGCUGAGGCGUGAUGACGAGGCACUACGGUGCUGAAGCAACAAAUGCCCUGCUUCCAGGAAAAGCCUCUAAGCAUCAGGUAACAUCAAAUCGUACCCCAAACCGACACAGGUGGUCAGGUAGAGAAUACCAAGGCGCUUGAGAGAACUCGGGUGAAGGAACUAGGCAAAAUGGUGCCGUAACUUCGGGAGAAGGCACGCUGAUAUGUAGGUGAAGUCCCUCGCGGAUGGAGCUGAAAUCAGUCGAAGAUACCAGCUGGCUGCAACUGUUUAUUAAAAACACAGCACUGUGCAAACACGAAAGUGGACGUAUACGGUGUGACGCCUGCCCGGUGCCGGAAGGUUAAUUGAUGGGGUCAGCGCAAGCGAAGCUCUUGAUCGAAGCCCCGGUAAACGGCGGCCGUAACUAUAACGGUCCUAAGGUAGCGAAAUUCCUUGUCGGGUAAGUUCCGACCUGCACGAAUGGCGUAAUGAUGGCCAGGCUGUCUCCACCCGAGACUCAGUGAAAUUGAACUCGCUGUGAAGAUGCAGUGUACCCGCGGCAAGACGGAAAGACCCCGUGAACCUUUACUAUAGCUUGACACUGAACAUUGAGCCUUGAUGUGUAGGAUAGGUGGGAGGCUUUGAAGUGUGGACGCCAGUCUGCAUGGAGCCGACCUUGAAAUACCACCCUUUAAUGUUUGAUGUUCUAACGUUGACCCGUAAUCCGGGUUGCGGACAGUGUCUGGUGGGUAGUUUGACUGGGGCGGUCUCCUCCUAAAGAGUAACGGAGGAGCACGAAGGUUGGCUAAUCCUGGUCGGACAUCAGGAGGUUAGUGCAAUGGCAUAAGCCAGCUUGACUGCGAGCGUGACGGCGCGAGCAGGUGCGAAAGCAGGUCAUAGUGAUCCGGUGGUUCUGAAUGGAAGGGCCAUCGCUCAACGGAUAAAAGGUACUCCGGGGAUAACAGGCUGAUACCGCCCAAGAGUUCAUAUCGACGGCGGUGUUUGGCACCUCGAUGUCGGCUCAUCACAUCCUGGGGCUGAAGUAGGUCCCAAGGGUAUGGCUGUUCGCCAUUUAAAGUGGUACGCGAGCUGGGUUUAGAACGUCGUGAGACAGUUCGGUCCCUAUCUGCCGUGGGCGCUGGAGAACUGAGGGGGCUGCUCCUAGUACGAGAGGACCGGAGUGGACGCAUCACUGGUGUUCGGGUUGUCAUGCCAAUGGCACUGCCCGGUAGCUAAAUGCGGAAGAGAUAAGUGCUGAAAGCAUCUAAGCACGAAACUUGCCCCGAGAUGAGUUCUCCCUGACUCCUUGAGAGUCCUGAAGGAACGUUGAAGACGACGACGUUGAUAGGCCGGGUGUGUAAGCGCAGCGAUGCGUUGAGCUAACCGGUACUAAUGAACCGUGAGGCUUAACCUU
rnacentral:rRNA from 1 species